CCCAUAAACUCCAAUUUCGCUGGUUUUUGUUCAACUCCAUCUAUGUCACCUUCGUCAUCGCCGGUGCUUUCGUUGGUGAACGGAUGAACACCAGAGCCAUACUACUGUCGUCGCAUCUAGAGAUAUUUAAGUUCUACGGUAGGAAACGUUUUGAUUUUGAAGCAUAAGUGUCUUAGUCCUGUUUUAACAUUUCAUUAUGGUGCUAAAAUUUUCUACUUUCAGCUUACUCUAGUUUAGUUUUGAGUUAUUUUAAUGAAUACUACGUCACUUUAAUUGUCUUGGAUGAUGAUAUACUUUGUUAAAAUGUUCUUUUUUUUAGUACCCUGAGCGUUCCAAAAUAACUCAAAAUCGACAUAAUGUUUCUAACAUCAUCACUUUUUGAUGUUUCUACAAUUCAAGGUUGAUCUCCAACAUAGCAUAGCUAUUUGCCUAGUGCUUUAAAAGGUGAAUCCUUCAGUCCUUCCCGAUAAGGUAACUUGUAAUCGGCUGGUUAGACCUUUAGUUAAUUUUUUUUUUAAUUAAUGUGCAGCUGGUGAAUUGACGGAGGCUUCCUCUUUACAGGAAUUAUAAUAGUGAAUUCAUUAAACCAUUUUUAAGUUUUGUCCUUAGCCUUGAUGUUAUUCAUCUAAGUUUACUUGAACUGAGAUAUUUUGCUUAUAAUUUGUAGUAAUAUUGUGUUGUAAUAAUUAAAAUUAUGCAUUUUGUCUCUCUAGCUGUUUUUUCCCUUGUAUUUUAUAUUUUGAAGUUACUUUUUGUAUACUAAUGAUUUUAUGACAUAGCUUAAGCUAUAUCAGAGAGAAAUAGAAAUGAAUUAUGUGGAUAUCUAUCUGAAUGGAA